UACGUAGGGACCAAGCGUUGUUCGGAUUUACUGGGCGUAAAGGGCGCGUAGGCGGCCUAGCAAGUCACUUGUGAAAUCUCCGGGCUUAACUCGGAACUGCCAAGUGAUACUGUCGUGCUAGAGUGCGGAAGGGGCAAUCGGAAUUCUUGGCGUAGCGGUGAAAUGCGUAGAUAUCAAGAGGAACACCUGAGGUGAAGACGGGUUGCUGGGCCGACACUGACGCUGAGGCGCGAAAGCCAGGGGAGCAAACGGG
rnacentral:rRNA from 1 species